UACGUAGGGUCCGAGCGUUGUCCGGAAUUACUGGGCGUAAAGGGCUCGUAGGUGGUUUGUCGCGUUGUUCGUGAAAACUCACAGCUUAACUGUGGGCGUGCGGGCGAUACGGGCAGACUUGAGUACUGCAGGGGAGACUGGAAUUCCUGGUGUAGCGGUGGAAUGCGCAGAUAUCAGGAGGAACACCGGUGGGGGAGGCGGGUCUCUGGGCAGUAACUGACGCUGAGGAGCGAAAGCGUGGGGAGCGAACAGG
rnacentral:rRNA from 1 species